GUACACCACACGCUUGCUGUAUUAAUCAUCUCUGUAUAUUGGUAUCGUUUGUGGUGAUCAGCUAUCAGAAGUAUGGUCAUGCAGAAGUCUUUCCUUAUGUUGGCAAUGCUGAGCAGCUGUAUAAUACCUAAGAUGACAUCACUUCCAUUUGUAGGAAGUGGUGAUGAACGUUGGGUGGCUGAAGCGUUUGACAUUGUGUUGACGGAGACGUUUAUAUCUCACUGUUCUCUGAUCUUUAUCAAGGACGUCAUGUCUUCCUAUUCUUAUGAGGUAAGAGCAUAUUAAGAAGCAUUGCGUGUGUGUAUUACAUAUACUCGUGUGUGUGUGUGUGUGUGUGUGUUGUGUGUGUGUGUGUGUGUGUGUGUGUGUGUGUGUGUGUGUGUGUGUGUGUGUGUGUGUGUGUGUGUGUGUGUGUGUCUCUCUCUCUCUCUCUCUCUCUCUCUCUCUCUCUCUCUCUA